rnacentral:rRNA from 1 species
GACGAACGCUGGCGGCGUGCUUAACACAUGCAAGUCGAACGGUAAGACCCUUCGGGGUACACGAGUGGCGAACGGGUGAGUAACACGUGGGUGAUCUGCCCUGCACUUCGGGAUAAGCCUGGCAAACUGGGUCUAAUACCGGAUAGGACUCCUGGCCUCAUGGUUGGGGGUGGAAAGCUUUUGCGGUGUGGGAUGGGCCCGCGGCCUAUCAGCUUGUUGGUGGGGUAAUGGCCUACCAAGGCGACGACGGGUAGCCGGCCUGAGAGGGUGACCGGUCACACUGGGACUGAGAUACGGCCCAGACUCCUACGGGAGGCAGCAGUGGGGAAUAUUGCACAAUGGGCGCAAGCCUGAUGCAGCGACGCCGCGUGAGGGAUGACGGCCUUCGGGUUGUAAACCUCUUUCAGCUAUGACGAAGCGCAAGUGACGGUAGUAGCAGAAGAAGGACCGGCCAACUACGUGCCAGCCGCCGCCGUAAGAC